CAGCAGCCGCGGUAAUACGUAGGGUGCGAGCGUUAAUCGGAAUUACUGGGCGUAAAGCGUGCGCAGGCGGUUAUAUAAGACAGAUGUGAAAUCCCCGGGCUCAACCUGGGACCUGCAUUUGUGACUGUAUAGCUAGAGUACGGUAGAGGGGGAUGGAAUUCCGCGUGUAGCAGUGAAAUGCGUAGAUAUGCGGAGGAACACCGAUGGCGAAGGCAAUCCCCUGGGCCUGUACUGACGCUCAUGCACGAAAGCGUGGGGAGCAAACAGGAUUAGAUACCCCCGUAGUCCCUGUCUCUUAUAC
rnacentral:rRNA from 1 species